rnacentral:rRNA from 1 species
CAGUUCGGAUCGCAGUCUGCAACUCGACUGCGUGAAGCUGGAAUCGCUAGUAAUCGCGGAUCAGCAUGCCGCGGUGAAUACGUUCCCGGGCCUUGUACACACCGCCCGUCACACCACGAGAGUUUGCAACACCCGAAGUCGGUGAGGUAACCUUUAUGGAGCCAGCCGCCGAAGGUGGGGCAGAUGAUUGGGGUGAAGUCGUAACAAGGUAGCCGUAUCGGAAGGUGCGGCUGGAUCACCUCCUUU